UACGGGGGGAGCAAGCGUUGUUCGGAUUUACUGGGCGUAAAGGGCGCGUAGGCGGCCACCGCAAGUCAGUUGUGAAAUCUCUGGGCUUAACCCAGAACGGUCAGCUGAUACUGCGGGGCUAGAGUGCAGAAGGGGGCAACUGGAAUUCUCGGUGUAGCGGUGAAAUGCGUAGAUAUCGAGAGGAACACCUGCGGCGAAGGCGGGUUGCUGGGCUGACACUGACGCUGACAGCGCGAAAGCUAGGG
rnacentral:rRNA from 1 species